UCCAAUUAGAAUGAAAUCCCUUAAUCCCAUAUUUCCCCAUCAUCGUCGUUACUCCCCCCGAAUCGCGUCAUCCAUUCACUGUGCUCGUCACUACCACUACCAAAGUGAUUGGUGACCUCCCGCGAUCAAAACCAAAUCAACCACUUAUCGUGAAGGCCCACAAUUCUUCUUUAUAUGAGCAUCAAACCUUCUUCAAAAACCUAAAGCUCCCCUAUCGAGAGCCACACAGUGCCACCACCGUGUUCUCCAUGCAAUUCCGAUCAAAACCUAGGUGGUUGGGUCCCUUAUCGUUACUCCGUUGCUGCCCCUCCAUAUUUACAUCGUGGUAUAUGAGGUACUAUUCAACGUCAAGUCCAAGACUGAGAGUGAUCGAAUGGAGUUGAAAUGAUCGACUGAUGUAGCUAAAAAAUCAAGAUUAGGUGAGCAUACGAGGAGCCUUCAAGUGACCAAGGUUCAGACCAGUGCAGAGUACAUCUUAAAUUUUGUAGGGCAUGUAUAUUUAUAGACCCAUUUGUAUUGAGUCGUAACUUUAUUGUAAAGUGGUUUAUUUAUUUUAAAUGUAUAUAUUUAU